rnacentral:rRNA from 1 species
AACGUGCCCGUAUGUGGGGGAUAGUCGAAUGGAAACGUCGCGUAAUACCCCCGUAAUACAUUCUCCCGCAUGAGAGGAUGUUGAAAGAUUUAUUGCAUACGGAUCGGCUCGCGUGCCAUUAGGUAGACGGCGGGGUAACGGCCCACCGUGCCGACGAUGGCUAGGGGUUCUGAGAGGAAGGUCCCCCACAUUGGAACUGAGACACGGUCCAGACUCCUACGGGAGGCAGCAGUGAGGAAUAUUGGACAAUGGCCGGAAGGCUGAUCCAGCCAUGCCGCGUGCGGGAGGACGGCCCUAUGGGUUGUAAACCGCUUUUGCGAGGGAGCAAUAAGGGUAACGUGUUGCCCGAUGAGAGUACCUCGCGAAUAAGCAUCGGCUAACUCCGUGCCAGCAGCGGC